UACAGAGGUCUCGAGCGUUUGUUCGGAUUCAUUGGGCGUAAAGGGCGCGUAGGCGGCGGGGUAAGUCUGGUGUGAAAUCUCGGAGCUCAACUCCGAAAUUGCACUGGAUACUGCUCUGCUAGAGGGCUGGAGAGGAGAUCGGAAUUCACGGUGUAGCAGUGAAAUGCGUAGAUAUCGUGAGGAAGACCAGUGGCGAAGGCGGAUCUCUGGACAGCUCCUGACGCUGAGGCGCGAAGGCUAGGGGGAGCAAACGGG
rnacentral:rRNA from 1 species